rnacentral:rRNA from 1 species
CCUACGGGCGGCAGCAGUGAGGAAUAUUGGUCAAUGGACGAGAGUCUGAACCAGCCAAGUAGCGUGAAGGAUGACUGCCCUAUGGGUUGUAAACUUCUUUUAUCUGGGAAUAAAAUGUUCCACGUGUGGGAUUUUGUAGGUACCAUAUGAAUAAGGAUCGGCUAACUCCGUUCCAGCAGCCGCGGUAAUUCGGAGGAUCCGAGCGUUAUCCGGAUUUAUUGGGGUUAAAGGGAGCGUAGGUGGAUUGUGAAGUUAGUUGUGAAAGUUUGCGGCUCAACCGUAAAAUUGCAGUUGAAACUGGCAGUCUUGAGUACAGUAGAGGUGGGCGGAAUUCGUGGUGUAGCGGUGAAAUGCUUAGAUAUCACGAAGAACUCCGAUUGCGAAGGCAGUUCACUGGACUGCAACUGACACUGAGGCUCGAAAGUGUGGGUAUCAAACAGGAUUAGAUACCCUUGUAGUC